GCAAGAACAGGAUGAGGAAAAUAAAACCAUCAGAAUCAAAAUAGAUCAAGAACUGAAGAAGAAACAUUUUCUAUGAAUUGUGGACAGAC